UACGAAGGGGCUAGCGUUGUUCGGAAUUCUGGGCGUAAAGCGCACGUAGGCGGAUUGUUAAGUUAGGGGUGAAAUCCCAGGGCUCAACCCUGGAACUGCCUUUAAUACUGGCAAUCUCGAGUCCGAGAGAGGUGAGUGGAAUUCCCAGUGUAGAGGUGAAAUUCGUAGAUAUUGGGAAAGACACCGGUGGCGAAGGCGGCUCACUGGCUCAUUACUAGCUCAGGCGCGACAGCGUGGGGGAUCAAACAGG
rnacentral:rRNA from 1 species